UGAUUGAACUGAACACUAUUUGCUUUUAAUUCGGGUUAUAUAUAUUUUGCUCGUAGCUAACGUUAGCUGAGACCACCAGGGCAUUCUUUUAGGCAUUUGUAGCAUACACGUGGUGUAAGGUAACUGUUAGUGUUGUUGGUUAAGGUUAGGUGCAUUGUCCAUUCUCAGUAAUAGUAUUGAUAUUAGUUAAGUGUCUGUUGGUUUUAUUUGGGUUAUUUAGCGAUCAUGUCAACAUAUUUGAACACAAACACUUCUGUUUGUCUGCGGUUAAAACAUUUGGUAGCCUACAUGGUAAAUGAUGUCAGAAUGAAUUUUGGAAGUCCUUUGCUAGUUAAGUUAGUUGAUAUACUGCUGAUAGUCAAUUGUGGUUCUUGUGUUUAUAUAAUUAUGGAUUUUGUUUGUUUUAACAGGGUUGGCAAAAUGCUCAUCAAGGUCCAGUACCGUGGACUAAAAAAGUACCUCAAACUGCAGCCUGGUUUUUCUUAUGAAAGUUUCAUUGAAGAAGCAGGUUCUUCUACUCUAAAUUCUUCACUUUUCUGAAGUGAUAUGGAGAGGUCCUCUUCAAACAAGGGACAUCAAUCUCCUGGUGCAGGAGAGAACACCUCUGCCAUAGGGGAUGCAGCAGAAAAGGCCAAAUGGAUGGUCCAGGAGGUUCUGGAGAAGAGUUCAGGGGGAGAGGAAACAAUGGAGGAGUAUAAGAGAUUGAGCACCUUGACACACUGCACAAGACGGCAUCAUAUCCUGGUCAGCCACAUUGUUGAAAUGCAUGGGAACUCUGGAUCUCAUUCAUAGUCAGCAUUGGGUCCUUGGUUACCUGUCUGACCAAGGCCCCUUUGUCCCAGGAUUACUCAGUUUGGCUUGCAUUUUGUGUAGAUAUUGAUGAAGAUGAUAUGUUUGUUAUAUCUCUGUCAGUCAUCUGAAUAUUUUUAAAUGUUUUUUUUAAAUGCCCAAGCUAUUGUUAUUUUUUUUCCCUCAACGUCAGGUU